GACGAACGCUGGCGGCGUGCUUAACACAUGCAAGUCGAACGGUAAGGCUCCAGCUUGCUGGGGUACACGAGUGGCGAACGGGUGAGUAACACGUGGGUGACCUGCCCUGCACUUCGGGAUAAGCCUGGGAAACUGGGUCUAAUACCGGAUAGGACCGCACCGUGAGGGUGUGGUGGAAAGUUUUUUCGGUGUGGGAUGGGCCCGCGGCCUAUCAGCUUGUUGGUGGGGUAAUGGCCUACCAAGGCGGCGACGGGUAGCCGGCCUGAGAGGGUGGACGGCCACAUUGGGACUGAGACACGGCCCAGACUCCUACGGGAGGCAGCAGUGGGGAAUAUUGCACAAUGGGCGGAAGCCUGAUGCAGCGACGCCGCGUGGGGGAUGACGGCCUUCGGGUUGUAAACGCCUUUCACCAUCGACGAAGGGUUUCUGACGGUAGAUGGAGAAGAAGCACCGGCUAACCACGUG
rnacentral:rRNA from 1 species